UAAAAUCCACGCCCAUAGUACGGGGUAUCGGAUUCGGCCUCACAGUUUCAAGUUCCCAAGUGUUAAUUAAUUACUCUUUGAUUUUUGUUGAAACUUUGAAACUACCUUUCCGUAGUUUAUCAAUGGCGAUGAUACGGUAAACCGCUUUAUUUUUUUUAUUUUUGUUUUUGUUUUUUCUCCUUUGGUUUUAACAACUUAGAAACAAAAAACCUUAACUUUCUCAAUUCGCUACUCAGUACUCAUUCAGUUCUUCAAGAAAGGUUGGAUAGGCUCUAAAACUGAUAAUUCUGGGCAAUGGCACUGACAAGUUUGAAAGUUCCUACAAUUUCUAGUGGAUUGACAAAUAGAAAGAGGGAAUGGAACAAGAUAAAUAGGUCAACGGGUUCUAAUUCUUUAUUAAACCAAUCUGAAAUAUGUAAAUUUAGGAAGGAAUUAGGCUACAUAGAUGGUGUGCGAAGCUGCCACCUAUCUGCAGCACAUAGGAAUUCAUUGUUGUCACCAUUAGUGGCACAUAGGAAUCCCCGUUUUCCGGUGUUUCAAAAUCAGUUAAGCUCUGAUUUCGGUGUGGAAGAUGUCAAGGAGACACUCACGUUGAAUGAAAAAGAUGAUGCUGCCCUGUUAAGCUCAAGUUCAACUGAAAAUGUUAAUGUCCGUGAGGUGAAAGUGAAGUCUGUGGAUGUCAAGAGGGAACUUAUUAUGCUUUCUCUGCCUGCGAUUGCUGGACAAGCUAUUGAUCCCUUUGCACAACUGAUGGAGACGGCAUACAUUGGAAGAUUGAGUUCUGUGGCAUUGGCUUCUGCAGGUGUUUCCGUAUCAAUAUUUAAUGUAGUAUCGAAGUUGUUCAAUAUUCCUCUCUUUAGCGUUGCAACUUCCUUUGUUGCUGAAGACAUCUCAAGGAAUGCAAUUGAAAAUUUGUCAGCAGGGAGUACUAAUGGUAAGAUUCCCGAUAGGGUAGCUGAAAGAAAGCAAUUAUCCUCAGUGUCUACUGCUUUACUUCUAGCAAUUUUGAUUGGAAUCUUUGAGGCAUUGGCAUUGUCUCUUGGCUCUGGAUUAUUUCUUAAGUUGAUGGGAGUACCCUCAACAUCAGAUAUGCAUGUUCCGGCAAAACAUUUUCUUUCACUUAGAGCUCUUGGGGCUCCUGCUGUGGUAGUCUCUUUGGCUCUUCAAGGAAUUUUCCGUGGGUUCAAAGAUACACAGACUCCUGUUUUUUGCUUAGGUGUUGGUAAUUUAUCAUCCAUAUUGUUUUUCCCCUUAUUUAUGUAUGGCCUUCGAAUGGGUGUGACGGGGGCAGCUCUCUCCACUGUUUUAUCUCAGUACAUUGUUGCCUUUCUGAUGAUCAGGUAUUUAAACAACAAAGUUGUAUUACUGCCCCCAAAGAUGGGGGCAUUGCAAUUUGGUAGCUACAUAAAAUCUGGUGGCUUUCUUAUUGGACGAACUCUUUCAGUGCUAAUAACAAUGACACUGGGGACUUCUAUGGCUGCUCGUCAAGGUUCACUGCCUAUGGCUGCGCAUCAGAUAUGCAUGCAAGUAUGGCUGGCUGUAUCUCUUCUAACAGAUGCACUUGCAACAUCUGCUCAGGCAAUGAUUGCAAGUUACCUAUCUGAAGGCGAACUAAAGACUGUGAAGGAAAUUGCAAACUUUGUGUUGAAGAUAGGGUUUGUCACAGGUGUUUUGUUGGCUGCAAUCCUAGGUGUAUCCUUUGGUUAUUUAGUCCCCUUGUUUACCCAAGAUGCUGAGGUUCUGGGAAUUGUUAAAACUGGAGUGCUGUUCGUUAGUGCUAGUCAACCUAUAAAUGCUUUAGCAUUUAUAUUUGAUGGUCUUCAUUAUGGUGUCUCGGACUUCCCUUAUGCAGCUUGUUCUAUGAUGUUAUUGAGUGCUGUCUCUUCUGCAUUUUUGCUCUUUGCUCCAAAAGUUCUCGGUCUUCAAGGGGUUUGGUUGGGCCUAACUCUCUUUAUGGCUCUGCGAAUGACAGCAGGAUUUGUCAGAAUACUAUCAAAAACUGGGCCUUGGUGGUUCCUUCACAGUGACUUGGAGAGAGGUGAGUUUAGUGUAUGUUCAUAGAAACCAAUGUUCUAAGGUUGUCAUUGUUUGAACUGCUUUUGUUCUGCUUUUGCUGAUGCAUAAAUGGAAAAAAGCUAGUCUUUUAAACUGGAUAAUUUUGGAUACGAUAUGAAAAUACAAAAUAUGAACAUUUUGCCGACUUUAUCUGUCCAACUAAGUAUUUCCAAGCUAAAAUGUACAAGAUAUUAUGCAAAAUAAAUUGUAUUGAUAUUUCUUUUUCUUAUUAUUACACACAAUAAGAGACCCCAUCAUUCUUACAUUGUGCUUCCUUCAUACAUGGUUUGAGCAUCUUGUAGCUAAACCGAAACCCAUUUAUUGAAAAUAAGGGACAAACCACACAAUAAAGAUGAUGAAUUUGGAUUGUGUACAAUGCAAGGUAAGAACCAGUUUAAUUAGAGACAUAAUCCAUGGGGCCAUAAGGUUCAAAAAGUUCUGCAAAAAACCCUUUCUUUCUCCUUGGUUUCCAUGCCAUAUCUUUGCACAGUUGAUCGUUGUACCAUAUAUGCAAAGCACCAAUGCACUUUCUACGAUAGUAUCCACCCGAGUAUUGUUUCAAGUAUUCAUCCCAUUCUUUUAUAUUUUUUUCCAUGUCCUUAAUGCUUGGCAGCUUGAACGUGCCGUCAAGAAGCUCUGCUACCCAUCUGCAUCUCAUCUCCGAGAUAAACUGACCUGUAGAGUGGAAGGGCUGCAUCAGGGGAUCCAGUAAUGUAGUCUUGGAAGGUUUGAGACAUAAAAAUGUGUUUGAGCAUUUUUUCACCCUUGAAUCCAGUGGCCAAGAUGACGAGGUCCGCUUCUAUCGGUGAAGUCUCGCCUUCGACCAAAACGCCAUUGUUGCAGAAACUAAAGCUUGGGGCCAUUUUCAAUUUGAUUUCUCCGUUUUCAACCUUGUCAUAGAAUUUUUCAGGGACAGUUGAGAUCAAACAUGAGCUGAUUUCUUUGAGGAAGCUAUGUGUUGGGACCAUCCCAUGUUUUUCCAAACGAAGCUUCUUUUUAAUAUCACUUUCAACAAAUUUUGAAUAUGCAUAUCUCUGUCAAAUAAGAAUUAAAAGAAAUCAGAAAAAAGAAAUAUGAAACUAAAAUGAAAUGGUAUUGUUAUUUGGUUAAAAACUGUGAGUGACGGAUAUGGAUAUGUAGGUACCAGCGGUGCGAGAAUUGUGGCUAAGAGAGAAAGGAGAAGCCCUUCACCAGGCUUAUGAACCAUAAGCUCUGAGAAACGGCUAAGGUACAUGUGUGCAAGUGAAAAUCCCCAUGGAAGAUAGUCAGGGACAUUCCAGUGAGCUCUAUGUAUAAAACUGUGCAUGGAUUUUCCUUUCCUGCAAAUCCAUUGGAAUUGAAAAGAAAUUUAUUUGCAUUGAAUAUGGUCAGAAAUUUUAUUUGCA